AUAAUUUUUAAAAAUACAAAAAUCUAACCCCAGAUAAAUUAUUUUCCAUAUACAAUGUUUUUACAACCUCAAGAGACCUCAUUAAUAUUUUGUGUUGGUAAAAUAUUGAAAUGAUCACUUUGUUUUCUAGAUACAAGGUUACACGGCCUUGACUUCUCUUUGUGUCUGAAAAUGGCCUAGGAUUCCUCGUCCUUCUGACUCCUGAGUGAUGACAGAAGAUGGACAUUUCAUAGUGCAUGUGCCACUAUGUGUGUGUAGAUAGGAGGACAAUUAUAAGAAUAGAUCCUGUCUUUCCACUAUACGGGUCUUGGAGACCAAAUUCACAUUGUCAGGCUAAGCAUAGAGGAGAGUUAGGGUUUAAAAGAAGAAACCCUGUAUUGCCUAGACUGGCCUCAAACUCCUAGAUUCAAGCAUCCUUUUGUCUCAGCCUGCCAAGUAUCUGAGACCUCAGCCCUGCCAGGUACCUGAAAUGGCUCAGCUUAAAAGAAAGUUUUUGAUGCCAGCAAUAUGGACAUCUUCACCUAUUGCUGUUCUGACAACAUUAGGAGCCACACAACUGAAAGCACCAUGUUCCACAAGGUGACCACAGAGGUCCUGAGGUGGUCAUUCAGGGGACCUAAGGACACAAGGCCUCAGGAUCAGAAAGAAACAACACCAAGAAUAUAUAACAGUGUGUCAAUAAACAGCCAGACAGCCACCAAGGAGUAAAAGAACAGAAACAGGUUUCAGAAGAAAUACUGAACGUUUAAAAUGAACCCGACCAUACGAAAUUGCUAUUUUUACAAGUCAAGAGAGGCUGAGUAUUGGUGACUGAAGGUAGUUCAACAAAUUAGAUUCUGAAGCCAUAGAAUCAAAACCCGGAUACAUGUGUUACAUACGCGCAAAAUUUUCUUUCCCUCCUAGGGACAUCAACAUUCAUUUAUAGAAUCAUAGAUGUAUAUGGAUGAUAAACCGUAUGACAAUGAGCACAGAGAUGGAAACUCACACUCCAUCUAAUGUAUAUACUGAACACAUAUCAAUACACAUGAAUUUGUCACUCAUACAAGCAUAUUCUCACUAGUCUCCAAUAUACAUGGUCACACAUGUGGUAGUAAUUACCCUUCAUGGCAGCCAAAUCCCCCCCCCCACACACAUACACGGACACACACACACACACACCUGUCU